GUUGUGACUUGCUGGGGAAGAUUCUUUCUUCCUGUUUUCACUUUUCUCCAUCUCGGCACAGAGAACACUCCAUGCUCCACCUAUGCACAGAGAAAAAAAAAUGGAGGACUUUGCACACCAGGCAACCACUCCUCGCGGCUGAGAGCUCGACAUUAUCAACAACGAACAAUUUUUGCGGGGAAGCUACUCGAGGAGCUGAUAUGGCAGAGCGUUACGCCUCUACUGGGCAUGUGAAGACUUUUCGGUGAGACUUCCGUUCACGCCUUUGUGGUUGCUGUCCCAACUUCAUCUCGAUGCCGCUAAACCCGAAGAGAACACUCCAUGCUCCGCCUCUGCACAGAGAAAAAAAAAUAAAAAAUAGAGGACUUCGCACACCAGGCAACCACUCCUCGCGGCUGAGAGCUCGACACGAUCAACAACGAACGAUUUUUUGUGGGGAAGCAACUCGAGGAGCUAAUAUGGCAGCGUGUUACGCCUCUGCUGGGCGCGUGAAGACUUUCCGGUGAGGAUUCUGUUCACGCCUUUGCGAUUGCUGUCCCAGCUUCGUCUCGACGUCGCCGAACCCGAAGUUUUGUUGGCCGAGCCGCUGAAGCUAUAAGAAGGCUUCACGCCUUCACUCCUUCGAAGCUUGAGUUACUCAUCUUCGCAGCCUUCGUUUCCUGAAUCCUGAACCUAACAAAGUUCUUCGAAGCUUGAGAGUGGCCGAAGGCAGCUUCAUCCGCCACCGCCAGUCGUCGCACUCGCCGCCACCAGCCAGCCCUCUACCAGUCGUCGGCGUCGUCGCACUCGCAGCCACCAGCCAGCCCUCCGCCAGUCGUCGCAUGAAGCUUCGAGGCUUCGAGGCUCCUCCAUCCUCCGAGUCGCCUCCCCUCUCUCGGUCUCACUCAGAGUCUCAGACUCUCUGCCCUCUGCUCAUCUCGCGUAUGAGAUAAGCUUUAUUUCAAUAACACUCAAUACCCACAACCACAUCUUAAAUAUUUUAUUAUGUUUUUUUUUUAAUUAUAAUUUAUUGUAAGUAAUGUUUGUUAAAUUGAAUUAAAAAAAAAAAAGUAAUUUAAUAGAGUAAAAAGCUUUAAAAUUUCA